CACGCGGGAUUCAUGACUAGUUAUGUGGUAAAUGAUGGUGUGCUCUCCAAUACAGUAAGAUUGGCACACUUGCAGACUUAAUACACAUUGUACUUACAUGGGUUGAAGAGAUUUUACAUUCCUUUUUCUCAUACUAUGAGUCUUUUGGUAUGUGUUACAGGAGAUGAGAUGACGGUGUGUUGAUCUAACUCUUAUUUCUCCAUCAAUAUGUGUGUGUUAUAAUAUAUUCUUUUUUCUAGUUUAGAUUUUCUGGUCAAGAUUUUGAUCACUCAUGUUUUCUCUUCUCAUCGUGUUACAUCUGCAGCUUAUUCUCUCCUUUUUGGAUUUGGACAUUAAGUACUUUGACCUUGGUCUUCCUCACCAUGAUACCACUGAUGAUAAAGUUACCGUUGAAAGUGCAGAGGCUACUCUUAAUAAGAGGAUUAGAAUGGGGCUGCUCCAGCUAAAAGUGUUCUGGUGUGGAUCCUAAUAUAAAUUUGAAAGUAUGCUUAGGCAGCAGCUGUGGUUGAUAGUCUGGCCAUCUUUUAGAAGUGAAGGUGCUGCAGUGCGUUUGUUUUGGCUUACUCUUGAUUGCUGCUUGGUUAUAGAUGAUGGGUUUCAUAUUGUAAUUUGAUAUUUUUCGGUUCAUAAUAAUUGCUAUAGAUGGUACUAGCUUUGUUGUGCAUUUCA